UACGGAGGGUGCAAGCGUUAUCCGGAUUCACUGGGUUUAAAGGGUGCGUAGGAGGGCAGGUAAGUCAGUGGUGAAAUCUCCGAGCUUAACUUGGAACUGCCGUUGAUACUAUCUGUCUUGAAUACCGUGGAGGUGAGCGGAAUAUGUCAUGUAGCGGUGAAAUGCUUAGAUAUGACAUAGAACACCAAUUGCGAAGGCAGCUCACUACACGAGCAUUGACUCUGAGGCACGAAAGCGUGGGGAUCAAACAGG
rnacentral:rRNA from 1 species